rnacentral:rRNA from 1 species
AGAGUUUGAUCAUGGCUCAGAUUGAACGCUGGCGGCAGGCCUAACACAUGCAAGUCGAGCGGUAGAGAGAAGCUUGCUUCUCUUGAGAGCGGCGGACGGGUGAGUAAUGCCUAGGAAUCUGCCUGGUAGUGGGGGAUAACGUUCGGAAACGGACGCUAAUACCGCAUACGUCCUACGGGAGAAAGCAGGGGACCUUCGGGCCUUGCGCUAUCAGAUGAGCCUAGGUCGGAUUAGCUAGUUGGUGAGGUAAUGGCUCACCAAGGCGACGAUCCGUAACUGGUCUGAGAGGAUGAUCAGUCACACUGGAACUGAGACACGGUCCAGACUCCUACGGGAGGCAGCAGUGGGGAAUAUUGGACAAUGGGCGAAAGCCUGAUCCAGCCAUGCCGCGUGUGUGAAGAAGGUCUUCGGAUUGUAAAGCACUUUAAGUUGGGAGGAAGGGUUGUAGAUUAAUACUCUGCAAUUUUGACGUUACCGACAGAAUAAGCACCGGCUAACUCUGUGCCAGCAGCCGCGGUAAUACAGAGGGUGCAAGCGUUAAUCGGAAUUACUGGGCGUAAAGCGCGCGUAGGUGGUUUGUUAAGUUGGAUGUGAAAUCCCCGGGCUCAACCUGGGAACUGCAUUCAAAACUGACUGACUAGAGUAUGGUAGAGGGUGGUGGAAUUUCCUGUGUAGCGGUGAAAUGCGUAGAUAUAGGAAGGAACACCAGUGGCGAAGGCGACCACCUGGACUAAUACUGACACUGAGGUGCGAAAGCGUGGGGAGCAAACAGGAUUAGAUACCCUGGUAGUCCACGCCGUAAACGAUGUCAACUAGCCGUUGGAAGCCUUGAGCUUUUAGUGGCGCAGCUAACGCAUUAAGUUGACCGCCUGGGGAGUACGGCCGCAAGGUUAAAACUCAAAUGAAUUGACGGGGGCCCGCACAAGCGGCGGAGCAUGUGGUUUAAUUCGAAGCAACGCGAAGAACCUUACCAGGCCUUGACAUCCAAUGAACUUUCUAGAGAUAGAUUGGUGCCUUCGGGAACAUUGAGACAGGUGCUGCAUGGCUGUCGUCAGCUCGUGUCGUGAGAUGUUGGGUUAAGUCCCGUAACGAGCGCAACCCUUGUCCUUAGUUACCAGCACGUAAUGGUGGGCACUCUAAGGAGACUGCCGGUGACAAACCGGAGGAAGGUGGGGAUGACGUCAAGUCAUCAUGGCCCUUACGGCCUGGGCUACACACGUGCUACAAUGGUCGGUACAGAGGGUUGCCAAGCCGCGAGGUGGAGCUAAUCCCAUAAAACCGAUCGUAGUCCGGAUCGCAGUCUGCAACUCGACUGCGUGAAGUCGGAAUCGCUAGUAAUCGCGAAUCAGAAUGUCGCGGUGAAUACGUUCCCGGGCCUUGUACACACCGCCCGUCACACCAUGGGAGUGGGUUGCACCAGAAGUAGCUAGUCUAACCUUCGGGAGGACGGUUACCACGGUGUGAUUCAUGACUGGGGUGAAGUCGUAACAAGGUAACCGUA